rnacentral:rRNA from 1 species
GACGAACGCUGGCGGCGUGCCUAAUACAUGCAAGUCGAGCGCAGGAAGCCGUCUGAACCCUUCGGGGGGACGACGGUGGAAUGAGCGGCGGACGGGUGAGUAACACGUAAAGAACCUGCCCAUAGGUCUGGGAUAACCACGAGAAAUCGGGGCUAAUACCGGAUGUGUCAUCGGACCGCAUGGUCCGCUGAUGAAAGGCGCUCCGGCGUGGCCCCUGGCUGGCUUUGCGGUGCAUUAGCUAGUUGGUGGGGUAACGGCCCACCAAGGCGACGAUGCAUAGCCGACCUGAGAGGGUGAUCGGCCACACUGGGACUGGGACACGGCCCAGACUCCUACGGGAGGCAGCAGUAGGGAAUCUUCCACAAUGGACGAAAGUCUGAUGGAGCAACGCCGCGUGAACGAUGAAGGCUUUCGGGUCGUAAAGUUCUGUUGUAAGGGAAGAACAAGUGCCGCAGGCAAUGGCGGCACCUUGACGGUACCUUGCGAGAAAGCCACGGCUAACUACGUGCCAGCCGCCGCAGUAAGAC